AACAGCAGCAAGCAAGCACACUACAACGAAUGACUGCUGGGAUGUGUUACAGGACCUACUCUACGGUCAGGGUCAAAUGUGGGUAACAGUCACAGUCUCAUGAGGUGCUGGGAGUUAUCAGUGAAGGGAAGCAUCCAAAACAUGGCAUACACAAUGGUUUCCUAGUACUGUCCCCACUGACCACCUAGCACUGUCUGCUCGGCAGCAUAUGUGACUGUCCCCAUGAAGGAGGUUGUCAUGAGCUCUUCACAGGACAGUGGUGAGCAUCCUGAGGUCACAGGCUGAGGAAGGAUCUGAACAUUGGAAAGAGUGCCUCCUCUUCACCACAUAGUCUGCCGCCUUAGAAUUUACUUCCCACCGAUCAUAACUGGAAAUAAAUCUCUAGGAGGAAAGGACUGCCACAUACAACUUGUGUAUUUGUCUUCAGACUGAAAAUAUCUCAGAGGGACUCUGUGUAGUGCAUCGUUACACA
ensembl:antisense Gm13919 predicted gene 13919